rnacentral:lncRNA from 1 species
CUCAACAGUCGCAGUGGAAUAUAAACCAGAGUAAAUUCAAAUAUACAUGUUAUGAAUAAAUAAAUUACAUCAACAUAGAUGCAUCUCAAAAUCCCAACAAACGGGUCAUCUCCAAAUAUAACAAAAUCCAAAGAUAACCUAAUCUAGACCGACACAACGAAGCCUAGAUCAGAGCCGACUAAUUCUAAACACCGAUAUCGGAGAAAGCUCUCGAUAUCCACCAAGCACAAGAACUCACCAAGCAACUAAACCUGCACAACGUCUACCCAUCCAUACAGAUAGGCAGGCGGUCCAUCACAGAUCCACUGGGGGUAAGUAUUACAUUAUCAUAAUCCAAAUAACAAUUAACAUGAAUAUUUCAAUAUAAAC